GCCACUUCGGUGGUACUCGAGCGGCGAACGGGUGAGUAACACGUGAGUAAUCUGCCCCUGGCUUUGGGAUAGCCACCGGAAACGGUGAUUAAUACCGGAUAUGACCAGCUUCCGCAUGGUGGUUGGUGGAAAGUUUUUUCGGCCAGGGAUGUGCUCGCGGCCUAUCAGCUUGAUGGUGAGGUAAUGGCUCACCAUGGCUUCGACGGGUAGCCGGCCUGAGAGGGUGACCGGUCACACUGGGACUGAGACACGGCCCAGACUCCUACGGGAGGCAGCAGUGGGGAAUAUUGGACAAUGGGCGGAAGCCUGAUCCAGCAACGCCGCGUGAGGGAUGACGGCCUUCGGGUUGUAAACCUCUUUCAGUAGGGACGAAGCGCAAGUGACGGUACCUACAGAAGAAGCACCGGCCAACUACGUGCCAGCAGCCGCGGUAAUACGUAGGGUGCGAGCGUUGUCCGGAAUUAUUGGGCGUAAAGGGCUCGUAGGCGGUUUGUCGCGUCGGGAGUGAAAACCAGGUGCUUAACACCUGGCUUGCUUUCGAUACGGGCAGACUAGAGGUAUUCAGGGGAGAACGGAAUUCCUGGUGUAGCGGUGAAAUGCGCAGAUAUCAGGAGGAACACCGGUGGCGAAGGCGGUUCUCUGGGAAUGACCUGACGCUGAGGAGCGAAAGUGUGGGGAGCGAACAGGAUUAGAUACCC
rnacentral:rRNA from 1 species